GGCCCGCCAAUGGAAGGGUCUGGAGCUCAUCCCGUCGGAGAACUUCACCUCGGUGUCAGUGAUGCAGGCGGUGGGAUCCGUCAUGACCAACAAGUACAGCGAGGGGUACCCCGGCGCGAGAUACUACGGUGGAAACGAAUACAUUGAUAUGGCCGAGUCAUUGUGCCAGAAACGUGCUUUGGAGGCCUUCCGCUUGGACCCAGCGAAAUGGGGAGUGAAUGUGCAACCUCUAUCAGGG
rnacentral:misc_RNA from 1 species